GACGAACGCUGGCGGCGUGCUUAACACAUGCAAGUCGAACGGAAAGGCCCUGCUUUUGUGGUGUGCUCGAGUGGCGAACGGGUGAGUAACACGUGAGUAACCUGCCCUUGACUUUGGGAUAACUUCAGGAAACUGGGGCUACUACCGGAUCGGAGCUCCUGCUGCAUGGUGGGGGUUGGAAAGUUUCGGCGGUUGGGGAUGGACUCGCGGCUUAUCAGCUUGUUGGUGGGGUAGUGGCUUACCAAGGCUUUGACGGGUAGCCGGCCUGUGAGGGUGACCGGCCACAUAGGGACUGAGAUACGGCCGAGACUGCUACGGGAGGCAGCAGUGGGGAAUAUUGCACCAUGGGCGGAAGCCUGAUGAAGCAACGCCGCGUGCGGGAAGACGGCCUUCGGGUUGUAAACCGCUUUCGCCUGUGACGAAGGGUGAGUGACGGUAAUGGGUAAAGAAGCAACGGCUAAAUACGUG
rnacentral:rRNA from 1 species